AACACCUCUGCUCUGCACACAGGGGCACCUCUCCAGCUGUCUCCAGUGGCCACCGCUGGGGCAGGGAGUUCUCUGGGCUGGCCGCUACCAGGCACGGCGCUCUCUUCUGCAUGGAGCUGCCCUGGCCAGAGCUCUCAGAAUGGAGAAGAAUAAAGCAAGAGACACAAAUUUAAUGAAUGGUUGAAAUGGGCCCCUCUGCGUGAGUUUGUGUAAACGGGUUCUACAGGUCCUGGUUGGUGUUGAUGGAGGAAAAGCUACCAGGAAACAGCAAGCAAAGGAGAAAAAAAUGUAUACACUGAAAAGUGCUAUGUGGAAGUCUCCAAAGAACUGAAAAUCUCCAGAGCUUAGCAGUUCUGUUGAAGCCACAGGAACUGGUAAACUCAGAACACCAACUGCCUGAUGAAUCUGUACAAGACCACUAGCACACAGCAGCAUUAACAACGGGUAUAAUAACUCAGACCAUAUUCAGGCAGUGGUUGCUGUUUGCAGACAAAGACUGCUGAAUUAUUUAUACAUCUGAUGAAAUCCCGUGAAGGCCUUUCUGAACCUACCCAGAAGCCACUGGUGCAUCAAGACAGCCCUCUGCUUCUGAGUGUACCGCUGGGUGUGGCCUCCCAGUGGUUGCUCCAGACAGGUAGCUACAAGUGAGGGUGUGGACUGAGUGAGGGAAUUAGUGAGUGUGUUCUGAGAAUAGUGACCUGCUCUUAAUAGAAACAGCUUGACUCUACCAAUAAUAACAGUCAAUUAAUAAACAGUGUUCUAAAAAAUGUUGCUUGUUAUCUUUGUCUCCCCCAAAUCAUUUUUUCUAUAGGGAAAAAGGGAACUUACAACAGAACAACUCCUCUCCUGAAGAAGAGCUGUCAGGGGCUGCAGGAACUCAUUGUUCCUCUGAGAAGUAUAAUAUCCUGAACAAAUUUUUCAGCUUAAAUGCCUCAGCACUCAGACAACCAGAAAUUCAUCCUAUCCUGCUGCUCUGAACCAUGGGUCAAACACCAUUUCUUGCGUUAUGUUCUUCCUUCAACUGAAAUGCAUAAAUGAGAAGGGUCCUAACAAAGCAUGGCACAUUUAACAAUUGCACACUAGGAGGCAUGCUGGCAUGUCCUGUGAAACAGGAAAUCUUGAGAGGCCAAAGGGAAGCAGAAUUACAGAAUCAGAAGCAAAAAGAAGAAGAAGAAGAGAAACAGAACAAAUAAGGAAACAGAGGGCAGACUGGCGUUUUCUGAUAAGGAAAAGAAGAUGUAAAAGAGAACAUAUCAAAUGAAACAGUUGAUCAAUAGGUCAAUCAGCAGAGCUGGAAGCCCCGAACUUUACAGCAUUCACAUCCAGCUUAAAUCUUCAGUGCUGUUUCCUUUCUCUAGCUCAGGCCUCCUUAGAGCUGUGGCGUCAAGCUUUUUGGAACCUGGAAAGUCAUAUUUUUUUUCUUGGCAAUACUACUUGGUAAUUUACAGUAAAGUUACUUUAAAUUGCACCGGGGUCUGAUCCUAGGUGUCUGCUUGGACUGAAGAGAGGAAAACAUGUUCUUGCUCUUUUCAGUGUUCAGCAAAUACAGGGCCAUCCUUAGCUGAAAAGACAGAAAUUCCCUAAAUGAUAAAACCCAUUUGUUCUUUUCCGUACAAUGGACCAAACCUGAAAUGAUGGUGUCUCUAUUUACUCUAAUAAACUGUUCAUCUCCCAUCGCAGUCCCCUUGGGGUGGGGGGCGUGGGGGCAGGGAGUGGGGAAGCAGAAGCACUGUGAGCAUUCUUGCCUGCUCCUCUAGCUGUGGUAACUGCCUUUAUAGAAGAUGUCAGAUUGUGCAGGCCUAAACAGCUCUUUUCCCACUGCUGUUUAUCCCCUAUUCUAUAUACAGGAGGCUGACAAUAUCCCCUUCCAGACGGCGUUCUGUUAAACUAAACUAGAAAAGAUUUUCAGUUUUUCUCCUGUAAGAGAAGCCUCACAUUCCCAUAGCAGCAGCAGCCUUUUCCUGCACUCUAAUUUUGGUUUGUCUUUUCUGACCAGAGAUGCUUAAACAACAAGAGGGUUCCACAUGAAGCCAGGCUUGAGAAACAGCUUGUCUUUAUUUCGGUUGUGAACGCAACUUCCAAAGUUUAUCUUGCUCACAGGAUGAAAAUGGUCUGUGUACAUCCUGUGAUCAACUUCCACAGUCAUUGCCAACAGAUAAGCUUAAUGUUUUAAUAAGUCUUUUUAGCUAUUAGUCUUCCAAGUUCAUGACCUUGUAUUUUGUGCUACUGAAUUUCACCCACUGUCCAGUUCUUCAGGUUUCCGCUACUAAAUCUCCAGAUCCAGUGCUCCCAUGCUACAGAUAAAUGCAGAAGGGCUUCCAGCACUGGGCAGGGGUUAUUCCCUCCCCACCCUCCAUGUCCACUCAGUCUUCCUCUCCUGAAAGGUAUGGUACACAGAAAAGAAGCCACAAGUUGCAAUAGCCUCCUACUGAACAGAGACUUUACUGUAAAUCCUGUAGUUUGUUAUCAGAAGAAACUGCCAUGAAGGAAGCACGAAUAGAAGAGAAAUUCCUGCUUGAAUCUUACAAGGUCCCAGACCUCUUCUGACCUUUUCCUGUGGUUCCUACUGCAUUUUGAACUAAAUGGGAAAACUAAAUGAUUUUCCAGGAUUUUUAAUCUAGAUCUAUAAUGUAUGUUCUCUAAACAGAUUCUUUCCAUCUCUUCUGUUUCCUCCGUUUCCAGAGAAAAUAAUCUGCAAAUAAAGAAUUUUGGCUUCACUCUUUACA